CCUACGGGUGGCAGCAGUGGGGAAUAUUGGACAAUGGGCGAAAGCCUGAUCCAGCCAUGCCGCGUGUGUGAAGAAGGCCUUCGGGUUGUAAAGCACUUUCAGUGGGGAAGAAAGCCUUGGGGCUAAUACCCUCGAGGAAGGACAUCACCCACAGAAGAAGCACCGGCUAACUCCGUGCCAGCAGCCGCGGUAAUACGGAGGGUGCGAGCGUUAAUCGGAAUUACUGGGCGUAAAGUGCGCGUAGGCGGUCUGAUAAGCCGGUUGUGAAAGCCCCGGGCUCAACCUGGGAACGGCAUCCGGAACUGUCAGGCUAGAGUGCAGGAGAGGAAGGUAGAAUUCCCGGUGUAGCAGUGAAAUGCGUAGAGAUCGGGAGGAAUACCAGUGGCGAAGGCGGCCUUCUGGACUGACACUGACGCUGAGGUGCGAAAGCGUGGGUAGCAAACAGGAUUAGAUACCCUUGUAGUC
rnacentral:rRNA from 1 species